rnacentral:pre_miRNA from 1 species
GACCUGGGUCCUCUAUUUAUAGGUGAUGGUGAAUAUCUUAUCUUAUCUUAUUUGGUUAAGAUAAGGGAGACGUUUGAAUUAUCCUAUGGAGACAUUUNAAUUCGAAAGUUGGUUA